GACGAACGCUGGCGGCGUGCUUAACACAUGCAAGUCGAGCGAGGUCCAUCCGGUGGCAACACCGGUGACGACCUAGCGGCGAACGGGUGAGUAACACGUGAGCAACCUGCCCCGAAGUCUGGGAUAACACCGGGAAACCGGUGCUAAUACCGGAUGUCCUCCUCUGGUCGCAUGGCCUAGGGAGGAAAGAAUUUCGCGUUCGGGGAGGGGCUCGGCGGGCUAUCAGCUUGGUUGGUGGGGUAACGGCUCACCAAGGCGACGACGGCUAGCUGGUCUGAGAGGACGACCAGCCACACUGGGACUGAGACACGGCCCAGACU
rnacentral:rRNA from 1 species